rnacentral:rRNA from 1 species
CCCUUAGAUGUUCUGGGCCGCACGCGCGCUACACUGAUGCAUUCAACGAGUCUAAAACCUGGUCUGAUAGGGCUGGGUAAUCUUUUGAAUGUGCAUCGUGAUUGGGAUAGAUGAUUGCAAUUCUUCAUCUUCAACGAGGAAUGCCUAGUAACCGCAAGUCAUCAGCUUGCAUUGAUUACGUCCCUGCCCUUUGUACACACCGCCCGUCGCUCCUACCGAUUGAAUGUUCCGAUGAAUACCAUGGACUGAGAGUAUGAAUGGGUUCGCCUAUUUCUGCUUCUCGGGAAGUGGAGUAAAUCUUAACAUUUAGAGGAAGGAGAAGUCGUAACA